UACAGAGGGGGCGAGCGUUGUUCAGAAUUACUGGGCGUAAGGGGCGCGUAGGCGGCCAACUAAGUCAGACGUGAAAUCCCUCGGCUCAACCGGGGAACUGCGUCUGAUACUGGAUGGCUUGAAUUCGGGAGAGGGAUGCGGAAUUCCAGGUGUAGCGGUGAAAUGCGUAGAUAUCUGGAGGAACACCGGUGGCGAAGGCGGCAUCCUGGACCGAGAUUGACGCUGAUGCGCGAAAGCCAGGGGAGCAAACGGG
rnacentral:rRNA from 1 species